UACGUAGGGUGCGAGCGUUAAUCGGAAUUACUGGGCGUAAAGGGCGCGUAGGCGGGAUGGCAAGUCAGUCGUGAAAUCUCUCGGCUCAACCGAGAAACGUCGGCUGAUACUGCCGUUCUUGAGGGAUGCAGAGGAGACUGGAAUUCCCGGUGUAGCGGUGAAAUGUGUAGAGAUCGGGAGGAACACCGGUGGCGAAGGCGGGUCUCUGGGCAUCUCCUGACGCUGAGGCGCGAAAGCGUGGGGAGCAAACGGG
rnacentral:rRNA from 1 species